GCUCAGCGGGAGAGCGCUUCCCUGACACGGAAGAGGUCACUGGUUCAAUCCCAGUAUCGCGCACCA
rnacentral:tRNA from 1 species